rnacentral:lncRNA from 1 species
CUUGCAAAACCUUGGCAGCAUCCCCUGCUCCGCCGGAGCCAGGCGUUGCUGCGCCGGGUGGGAGCUCAGCCCCCUGCCCAACUUCUCACCCAGGGCCUGGUUCCCAGAUAUGACCGAAUAGAUCC